rnacentral:rRNA from 1 species
GACGAACGCUGGCGGCGUGCUUAACACAUGCAAGUCGAGCGGUAAGGCCCCUUCGGGGGUACCCGAGCGGCGAACGGGUGAGUAACACGUGAGCAAUCUGCCCAUCACAUCGGGAUAACUCCGGGAAACCGAAGCUAAUACCGAAUACGACCACCUCCGGCAUCGGCUGGUGGUGGAAAGUUCCGGCGGUGAUGGAUGAGCUCGCGGCCUAUCAGCUUGUUGGUGGGGUAACGGCCCACCAAGGCUUCGACGGGUAGCCGGCCUGAGAGGGUGACCGGCCACACUGGGACUGAGACACGGCCCAGACUCCUACGGGAGGCAGCAGUGGGGAAUAUUGGACAAUGGGCGAAAGCCUGAUCCAGCAACGCCGCGUGAGGGAUGACGGCCUUCGGGUUGUAAACCUCUUUCAGCAGGGACGAAGCGCAAGUGACGGUACCUGCAGAAGAAGCACCGGCCAACUACGUG